UUGUCCAGGGGGCCGCCUUCGCCACCGGUAUUCCUCCAGAUCUCUACGCAUUUCACCGCUACACCUGGAAUUCUACCCCCCUCUACAAGACUCUAGCCGGCCAGUUUCAAAUGCAGUUCCCAGGUUGAGCCCGGGGAUUUCACAUCCGACUUGACCGACCGCCUGCGUGCGCUUUACGCCCAGUAAUUCCGAUUAACGCUUGCACCCUCCGUAUUACCGCGGCUGCUGGCACGGAGUUAGCCGGUGCUUCUUCUGCGAGUAACGUCAAUC
rnacentral:rRNA from 1 species